rnacentral:rRNA from 1 species
AUCGAACGCUGGCGGCAGGCCUAACACAUGCAAGUCGAGCGGAGCGGCGGACGGGCGAGUAAUGCCUAGGAAUCUGCCUGGUAGUGGGGGAUAACGUCCGGAAACGGGCGCUAAUACCGUAUACUAUCAGAUGAGCCUAGGUCGGAUUAGCUAGUGGGUGGGGUAAAGGCCUACCAAGUCGACGAUCCGUAACUGGUCUGAGAGGAUGAUCAGUCACACUGGAACUGGGACACGGUCCCGACGCCUACGGUAGGAAGCGGUGGGGAAUAUUGGACAAUGGGGGAAGGCCUGAGCCAGCCAUGCCGCGUGUGUGAGGAAGGUCUUCGGAUUGUAAAGCACUUUAAGUUGGGAGGCGUUACCAACAGAAUAAGCACCGGCUAACUUCGUGCCAGCAGCCGCGGUAAUAC